rnacentral:rRNA from 1 species
GGGUUGUGAGGUUAAGCGACUAAGCGUACACGGUGGAUGCCCUGGCAGUCAGAGGCGAUGAAGGGCGUGCUAAUCUGCGAUAAGCGCCGGUAAGGUGAUAUGAACCGUUAUAACCGGCGAUACCCGAAUGGGGAAACCCAGUGUGACUCGUCACACUAUCAUUAACUGAAUCCAUAGGUUAAUGAGGCGAACCGGGGGAACUGAAACAUCUAAGUACCCCGAGGAAAAGAAAUCAACCGAGAUUCCCCCAGUAGCGGCGAGCGAACGGGGAGGAGCCCAGAGCCUGAAUCAGCAUGUGUGUUAGUGGAAGCGUCUGGAAAGGCGCGCGAUACAGGGUGACAGCCCCGUACACAAAAGCGCAUGUGCUGUGAGCUCGAUGAGUAGGGCGGGACACGUGGUAUCCUGUCUGAAUAUGGGGGGACCAUCCUCCAAGGCUAAAUACUCCUGACUGACCGAUAGUGAACCAGUACCGUGAGGGAAAGGCGAAAAGAACCCCGGCGAGGGGAGUGAAAAAGAACCUGAAACCGUGUACGUACAAGCAGUGGGAGCCCCACCACUAAGCCAGUGGUGAACUCCACAUACGCAUCCUUUGCUGAGGAUACGGUUAACGGAGCGAAAGCGACGUUCAACCGCAAAAGAAGCAGAGGGGGCUUAGUGGUGGGGUGACUGCGUACCUUUUGUAUAAUGGGUCAGCGACUUAUAUUCUGUAGCAAGGUUAACCGUAUAGGGGAGCCGGAGGGAAACCGAGUCUUAAUUGGGCGUUAAGUUGCAGGGUAUAGACCCGAAACCCGGUGAUC